rnacentral:rRNA from 1 species
UGGUUCGAUCCUGGCUCAGGAUGAACGCUGGCGGCGUGCCUAACACAUGCAAGUCGAGCGAUUUACUUCGGUAAAGAGCGGCGGACGGGUGAGUAACGCGUGGGUAACCUGCCCUGUACACACGGAUAACAUACCGAAAGGUAUGCUAAUACGAGAUAAAAUACUUUUAUCGCAUGGUAGAAGUAUCAAAGCUUUUGCGGUACAGGAUGGACCCGCGUCUGAUUAGCUAGUUGGUAAGGUAACGGCUUACCAAGGCGACGAUCAGUAGCCGACCUGAGAGGGUGAUCGGCCACAUUGGAACUGAGACACGGUCCAAACUCCUACGGGAGGCAGCAGUGGGGAAUAUUGCACAAUGGGCGAAAGCCUGAUGCAGCAACGCCGCGUGAGCGAUGAAGGCCUUCGGGUCGUAAAGCUCUGUCCUCAAGGAAGAUAAUGACGGUACUUGAGGAGGAAGCCCCGGCUAACUACGUGCCAGCAGCCGCGGUAAUACGUAGGGGGCUAGCGUUAUCCGGAAUUACUGGGCGUAAAGGGUGCGUAGGUGGUUUCUUAAGUCAGAGGUGAAAGGCUACGGCUCAACCGUAGUAAGCCUUUGAAACUGGGAAACUUGAGUGCAGGAGAGGAGAGUGGAAUUCCUAGUGUAGCGGUGAAAUGCGUAGAUAUUAGGAGGAACACCAGUUGCGAAGGCGGCUCUCUGGACUGUAACUGACACUGAGGCACGAAAGCGUGGGGAGCAAGCAGGAUUAGAUACCCUGGUAGUCCACGCCGUAAACGAUGAGUACUAGCUGUCGGAGGUUACCCCCUUCGGUGGCGCAGCUAACGCAUUAAGUACUCCGCCUGGGAAGUACGCUCGCAAGAGUGAAACUCAAAGGAAUUGACGGGGACCCGCACAAGUAGCGGAGCAUGUGGUUUAAUUCGAAGCAACGCGAAGAACCUUACCUAAGCUUGACAUCCUUUUGACCGAUGCCUAAUCGCAUCUUUCCCUUCGGGGACAGAAGUGACAGGUGGUGCAUGGUUGUCGUCAGCUCGUGUCGUGAGAUGUUGGGUUAAGUCCCGCAACGAGCGCAACCCUUGCCUUUAGUUGCCAGCAUUAAGUUGGGCACUCUAGAGGGACUGCCAGGGAUAACCUGGAGGAAGGUGGGGAUGACGUCAAAUCAUCAUGCCCCUUAUGCUUAGGGCUACACACGUGCUACAAUGGGUGGUACAGAGGGCAGCCAAGUCGUGAGGCGGAGCUAAUCCCUUAAAGCCAUUCUCAGUUCGGAUUGUAGGCUGAAACUCGCCUACAUGAAGCUGGAGUUACUAGUAAUCGCAGAUCAGAAUGCUGCGGUGAAUGCGUUCCCGGGUCUUGUACACACCGCCCGUCACACCACGGAAGUUGGGGGCGCCCGAAGCCACUUAGCUAACCCAUUUGGGAAGCGAGUGUCGAAGGUGAAAUCAAUAACUGGGGUGAAGUCGUAACAAGGUACCC